CUCUUCUCAUUAUGCAAGUGUGUUCCUCUAUUUUUGAUGCUAAAGGUGGAUGCUCCAGUUCAAACACUUCACAAAUGAUAUUGUUAAAUAUUGUAGUAUUCUUACCUUUAGCGUCAAGAGAUGAACACACCCGCCCUACAAAAAAGAC
rnacentral:pre_miRNA from 1 species